AUUGAACGCUGGCGGCAGGCCUAACACAUGCAAGUCGAGCGAGCGGCGGACGGGUGAGUAAUGUAUGGGGAUCUGCCCGAUAGAGGGGGAUAACUACUGGAAACGGUGGCUAAUACCGCCUACUAUCGGAUAAGCCCAAGUGGGAUUAGCGAGUGGGUGGGGUAAAGGCGUACCGAGGCGACGAUCUCUAGCUGGUCUGAGAGGAUGAUCAGCCACACUGGGACUGAGACACGGCCCAGACUCCUACGGGAGGCAGCAGUGGGGAAUAUUGGACAAUGGGCGCAAGCCUGAUGCAGCCAUGCCGCGUGUGUGAAGAAGGCCUUAGGGUUGUAAAGCACUUUCAGCUGGGAGGCGUUACCCGCAGAAGAAGCACCGGCUAACUCCGUGCCAGCAGCCGCGGUAAUUC
rnacentral:rRNA from 1 species